rnacentral:rRNA from 1 species
CCUACGGGGGGCUGCAGUGGGGAAUAUUGCGCAAUGGCCGAAAGGCUGACGCAGCGACGCCGCGUGGGGGAGGAAGGUCUUCGGAUUGUAAACCCCUGUUGCCCGGGACGAAUCCUGGUUUCGACCAGAUUGACGGUACCGGGUGAGGAAGCACCGGCUAACUCUGUGCCAGCAGCCGCGGUAAUACAGAGGGUGCGAGCGUUGUCCGGAAUCACUGGGCGUAAAGGGCGCGUAGGUGGCUUGCCAAGGGGAAAGCCCGGAGCUCAACUCCGGGGCGGCCAUGCGAACUGGCAGGCUAGAGCACGGUAGAGGCCAAUGGAAUUCCGGGUGUAGCGGUGGAAUGCGUAGAGAUCCGGAAGAACACCGGUGGCGAAGGCGGUUGGCUGGGCCGUUGCUGACACUGAUGCGCGACAGCGUGGGGAGCAAACAGGAUUAGAUACCCCUGUAGUC